rnacentral:lncRNA from 1 species
GCAGGGCGAUUCACUUCAUUCAACGGUGAUAAGAGGUCAAUGGAGAUGCCACAAAUGGCUAAGUGCUGAGUCAUCCUGGUGAGCAAGAGGCGGCAUGAAUUUGGUCUAUCUUUGGCAUCCAAUUGGCUCUAUUUAUACACCUCUUGAUCUUUAUCAAUUUAUGAAUUGUGGGAAGAAGCUAUUAUUUCAGCUCCUUAGGCUCAGAGAUUGAUCAUUUGAAGAAAAUUUCCUCAAUUAAGGUACAUUUUAUCAUCUCAUAAUGCCUCUUGAGGCACAUCAAUAUAGUACCAUCUCUCUGAUUGGGUGAUCACCUUUGUUUCUUAAUCCAGCAGAUGGGAUCAUCUGGCAGAGUGAUGAAGAAAUAUUGGAGACCCAAGAGAGAGGGAAUUUUCCUAAAAAGUCAUCCUCCAGCCAACUUUGGGGUAAGGUCUCCUAACCCUUGCUCUUCAGGGUUAUUUGAGGAAGGAACACUUUGAAGGAGGGUCUCCCUGUUGAGCUUGUGACUCAAUCCCCAUGGUUUGAUAGAGCAGGGGACAAUGCCUGCAUGUGCACUGAUGCUAAAUCAGGCAUUUUGUACUUGACUAAAUCACUUGAUUUCGAGCGAAUGAACACUCUUUAUUAUAUUAUUUUGCUUCCUUUGGGGAUCUGGGCCCCUGCAAAAAAGAAAAAUAAUGUCUGGGUCCAACCCCUUUUUUAUUUUCAGUUUUAUGAAACUAAUUAGUUGUUAUAAAUGAUAAAAAAAAUUUCUUCUAUUAUAGAACACAUAAGGUGACUUAUUUGCCUAGGAACAAUCUUUCUGUAACAACUGAUGUAAUCCAGAAACACAAACUCCUGGCAUUUCAUCAUUUUUCACGACAGAAGUUCAACAUUGUACAGCAUACAUUUUCCUUCACGAGUACUUGUAGGAGUGAAGAAAAGAAGAAAAGAAGAAGAGAAUCUAUCUAGAAAAGGCAACCCCAUUUGAGAAUAACGGCCCUCGAGUGCUCCAAAAAGCUUGAAUAGUAUACCUUGUAGCAGCACUGGGGCCAUUAAAAACCAGAGGAAAAAAGGGCGCCCGGUCAAGCAGCUGCAGAUGAGCUCGCAAAAACUCGGGCAGG